rnacentral:rRNA from 1 species
GAUGAACGCUGGCGGCGUGCCUAAUACAUGCAAGUAGAACGCUGAAGGAAGGAGCUUGCUCUUUCCGGAUGAGUUGCGAACGGGUGAGUAACGCGUAGGUAACCUGCCUGGUAGCGGGGGAUAACUAUUGGAAACGAUAGCUAAUACCGCAUAACAGUAGAUGUUGCAUGAUAUCUACUUAAAAGGUGCAAUUGCACCACUACCAGAUGGACCUGCGUUGUAUUAGCUAGUUGGUGAGGUAACGGCUCACCAAGGCGACGAUACAUAGCCGACCUGAGAGGGUGAUCGGCCACACUGGGACUGAGACACGGCCCAGACUCCUACGGGAGGCAGCAGUAGGGAAUCUUCGGCAAUGGACGGAAGUCUGACCGAGCAACGCCGCGGGAGUGAAGAAGGGUUUCGGAUCGUAAAGCUCUGUUGUAAGAGAAGAACGAGUGUGAGAGUGGAAAGUUCGCACUGUGACGGUAUCUUACCAGAAAGGGACGGCUAACUACGUG